UACACAGUAGCUUAAUUAAGGCGCCUGCCUAUCAAGCAGGAGAAUGAAGGUCCCAAUCCUUCCUGUGUAU
rnacentral:tRNA from 1 species